rnacentral:rRNA from 1 species
UUAAACGGCCGCGGUAUCCUAACCGUGCAAAGGUAGCGUAAUCACUUGUCUUAUAAAUAAAGACCCGUAUGAAUGGCUAAAUGAGUAUUUAACUGUCUCCNUUUAACUAAUCAGUGAAACUGACCCCUCAGUANCAAAAGCUGAGAUAAAAACAUAAGACGAGAAGACCCUGUGGAGCUUUAAAUUUUAACAAAAUAUUUAAACAUAUUUAUGACAGAAAAUUUUUAGUUGGGGCGACUUUGGAGCAAAACUUAACCUCCAAGAAAAGGUGCCACCUAAACUAGGCUAACCGGCCAAACAUCUAGANCCCAGUAUUUAUACUGAUUAAUGAACCGAGUUACCCCAGGGAUAACAGCGCUAUCUUCUUCAAGAGUUCCCAUCGACAAGAAGGUUUACGACCNUCGAUGUUGGAUCAGGACACCCAAAUGGUGCAGCCGCUAUUAAAGGUUCGUUUGUUCAACGAUUAAUGUCCUACGUGAUC